rnacentral:rRNA from 1 species
GACGAACGCUGGCGGCAGGCUUAACACAUGCAAGUCGAACGCAUCCUUCGGGGUGAGUGGCAGACGGGUGAGUAACGCGUGGGAAUCUACCCAGUUCUGCGGAACAACAGUUGGAAACGACUGCUAAUACCGCAUACGCCCUACGGGGGAAAGAUUUAUCGGAAUUGGAUGAGCCCGCGUUGGAUUAGCUAGUUGGUGAGGUAAUGGCUCACCAAGGCGACGAUCCAUAGCUGGUCUGAGAGGAUGAUCAGCCACACUGGGACUGAGACACGGCCCAGACUCCUACGGGAGGCAGCAGUGGGGAAUAUUGGACAAUGGGCGCAAGCCUGAUCCAGCCAUGCCGCGUGAGUGAUGAAGGCCUUAGGGUUGUAAAGCUCUUUCAGUGGGGAAGAUAAUGACGGUACCCACAGAAGAAGCCCCGGCUAACUUCGUGCCAGCAGCCGCGGUAACAC